CCCAGACUCCUACGGGAGGCAGCAGUGGGGAAUAUUGCACAAUGGGGGGAACCCUGAUGCAGCGACGCCGCGUGAGUGAAGAAGUAUUUCGGUAUGUAAAGCUCUGUCAGCAGGGAAGAAGAAAGACGGUACCUGACCAAGAAGCCCCGGCUAACUACGUGCCAGCAGCCGCGGUAAUACGUAGGGGGCAAGCGUUAUCCGGAUUUACUGGGUGUAAAGGGAGCGUAGACGGCAGGGCAAGUCUGGAGUGAAAGGCAGGGGCCCAACCCCUGGACUGCUCUUGGAACUGCGUGGCUGGAGUGCAGGAGGGGCAGGCGGAAUUCCUGGUGUAGCGGUGAAAUGCGUAGAUAUCAGGAGGAACACCGGUGGCGAAGGCGGCCUGCUGGACUGCGACUGACGUUGAGGCCCGAAAGCGUGGGGAGCAAACAGGAUUAGAUACCCGGGUAAA
rnacentral:rRNA from 1 species